AAAGAAAACUGAAGCUCAGAGAGUUAAAUAGUCCAGAUAGGACAAAUAGAUGCCUCAAUGAAUCCUGCCUGAGGCAGGAUGGGAAACCGUGGACUGGAGAGUGCCACUUCAUGAAAAUGAAAGAUUCUGUUUACGGCAGAAUGAUUCUCCAUGUAACUCUGUACCUUAGGAUAAACAAGCUGAACUACAUUUAAAA